AUCAGCGCGAACACCUGUUCCAGUCCGAACUCUGAAGUCGAAACUGGUGGUCAUCAGUGGAAAGUCCGUGGAGCCAGAAGAUCGGAGGCCCCCGACGGAAGAAGGUGCGGCCGAUCCUGGGCGUUUCUCUUCGGCCGACAAAACUCCGACAGUUCAAACCGCUCGACCGGGCCGGGCCCGUUUAUGCGCCGGAGGCGGCUCGCCUCGCCACCCCCGGCCCCUCGUCUGCGCCACUAGCACGGCCCUCCGCCUCCGCCUGCCAUGGCUGAGGAGCUCCUCGUCGUCCUCAACAAAAAGGAUCCGACCUGCGGCCUCGGGUUCUCGCUCCUCGGCACCCCCGGCCUACCGCCCAUCAUCUACGACAUCGUCGAGAACUCGCCCGCAGCCGAAAGCGGCAACGUCGAAGCUGGAGAUGUCAUAUUAAAAGUGAACGAAACCGAUGUCAAUAGGUUGAACACAAAAGAAGUUCUAAAAUGUCUACGCCUUUGCGAAAACCCUGUAUCUCUCAGAUUAAAAAGAGACCCAGUAAUGAAGGCGAGGAUGAGGCACUACCUUUCGACCCCGGUCCAGUGCCGGGGGGAGAUAAACCUGCCAGAGUUGAUAUCCGACUGCGGCAGCACCCUCGAUGAGUGUGCCGGUGGAGUCGAGCCACCACCGCCGGUGCACCCGCCGCCCCUUGAAGACGUGACGCGAACAAACGGCGACUCGCUGUCUGAACCUAAGCACGACCACCAGCAGCCCAAGUUCGAGGCGUUCGUCAUGACCGGUGAUCGAGUCCUUAAGAUUUGCAGGACCCAGCAAGGUUCUGUACUUCCUAAGCAACAGAGGAAAGUGGACUCGCUUAGGAAUAACAUCCACCCUUACAAUAACCACCAGAGGCACGCUUCUGUCCCGACAAGCCCUGUAGAGGCCGAACGACACACGAACAAGGUCGGCUCAGCGAGCACCUCGCCGACUCCACCGGCCUCUGGCCCCACAUCGGCGGCCGUCACUUCCACUACUGCUUCUUACGUUGUCAGAACUUCCAAAUCUGAGGAUCACCUACAGUCCAACAAGGACUCUAUGUCUGCUGUCGCGAUAGACAUAGACGAUGACGUCACCUCCUCUCUCAACACGCUCUUAGACACUAGGCAAGACAGUGAAAAUGAGGACCAAAGGAUAGUAUGGACAUACAAUGCACCCUCGUCAUCAAAUUCUAGCUCAAGAACGACGACGUCUUCCAAUAAUGUAUCACCACACCGAUCCGGCUCGCCGGCAUCCCCCACAUCGGUUUCAAGUUCCGUUAUGUCCUCUUCCUCUUCUUCGUCAGGAUGUUCUGAUAAGAAGUUGAACGCUGAUGAUCGAAAGCCCGAUUCACUCCCAGCCAUUCCUCAAGGUGAUCUUUCCCAAUCUGAGGCAAUCUCCAACAUUAGUUCUCCUGAUUUUAUAGAGGAAGAUUCUGAAAUUAUCGCUCGGGACUUUGUCAUGGAAGUGAGCGAUCCUAGUGACUCCGACUCGACUUUGCUUGUAAGUGAGACUACCAAAGGCAGCCGGCAACACAGAAUAGUUAUUCAGGUGAAAGGCCCUGAAAAAGGUUGCACUAAUAAUAAUAACAACAACAAUAACAACAGUAGAUCCAACAGCCCAAGGCAACGUAGACUCAGUACCGGAAGCAACAAAGGAAACAAUGUUGACCAUUACCAGAACAUGGAUCAUAAUAUUUAUGAGGACCUAGAUGAAGAAAGCUUGUUGCAGCUUACAGAAGGUGCUGCCAACCUUGCAAAAUCAGUGUCGCCACCUCCUUCCCAAAACCAGGAAGAGGAUUCUGAUGUUGACUCUCUCCACUCCUAUCACUACAGCCCAAAGGGCGUUGACAUCCCAAGUGCUGUUAGGCUUGCAAAACGUCUCUUCACCCUUGACGGUUUUAAGAAAUCAGACGUAUCAAGGCAUCUGAGUAAAAACAACGAAUUCAGUCGAGCCGUAGCUGAAGAGUACCUGAAAUAUUUCACUUUCAUGGGAGAUUCUCUCGAUGCAGCUCUCAGGAAGUUCCUCACUCAAUUCUGCCUUACCGGUGAGACGCAGGAGCGUGAAAGAGUACUGGUACAUUUUAGUAAAAGAUAUUUAGACUGCAAUCCUGGCAUAUUUACUUCUCAAGAUGCGGUACACACAUUGACAUGUGCGAUAAUGUUGCUCAAUACUGACCUACACGGACAGACGAUAGGGAGGAAAAUGACUUGUAACGAAUUCAUUGACAAUCUAUCCGAACUAAAUGACGGUGAGAAUUUCCCGAGGGACAUUCUUAAAAACUUAUAUCAGUCAAUUAAAAAUUAUCCACUCGAAUGGGCAUUAGAUGAAGAGACAGAUGACCAAGGAUCCUCUAAAAUUAGUUCAGAUAGAGACGGCGUGACUGGUGCACAAACGAGUAAAGGGCUUUUUGACGUGCCUUCAACAACACCAGCUAUCGAGUACAAAAAGGGCUACGUGAUGAGGAAAUGCUGUGUGGAGCCCAAUGGCAAAAAGACACCUUUGGGGAAAAGAGGGUGGAAAAUGUAUUACUGCACUCUUAGAGAUCUUGUACUCUAUCUGCAUAAAGACGAACACGGAUUCAGGAGGACGCAGCUGAGCGACAAUCUUCACAAUGCUGUGCGCAUCCAUCAUGCACUCGCUACGAAAGCGACCGACUACACGAAGAAGCUCCACGUAUUCAGGUUGGAGACUGCAGACCAGGCUGUUUACUUAUUCCAAACGAGUGAUUCGAAAGAGCUGCAGUCUUGGAUAGACACGAUCAACUUUGUUUGCGCGAGUUUCUCAGGACAACCUCUCCCUGGGGCUGUCGGCUCUCAGAAAAAAUUCCAAAGGCCACUUCUUCCGUCUUCGCACACAAAACUGAAUUUUAGAGAUCAAUUAAGAGAUCAUGAAACUAUGGUUCAGAAGCUAGAAUCGGAGCUGGAAAGUCAUAGGAAACAUCCUCCGGAAAGAGGCGCCAAGCAACUUGUACAUUACAACUUUAGAGAAAAAGACAACUACCUUCAAUAUGAAUUGAAACGGUACAAGUUGUACGUGUCGUUGCUGAGAUCUCGAAUGACUCAGUUGCCCGAUAUGAGCGAGGGUUCUCUCAUCGAAAGCAUAGGCGAGGCGGCCGAGGAGGGCGGCUGUGGCGAGGACAGGCGAGGGAGCCCGGCUAGCAACAGAAGUUGCUGCUGCCCUUCUUAUAGUCUUCAUAACUUCAAAGUCCCAGCGAAUUACCAAGCGCUGCCUUCACUAGAGACGUCGGAGCCCUCUUUCUAGUUGAGAGAAGCACACCAAUUUAGUUUCUCUUGUUUCCAAAGCUAGUCCCCGACGAGCUUAUGGUGCAAAAACAAGGUGCGAAUAGUGCUGGUUAAAGUUAAAAAAAAUUAAAAGUAUCUC
rnacentral:misc_RNA from 1 species